rnacentral:tRNA from 1 species
GCUAGCGUAGCUUACCAAAAGCAUGACACUGAAGAUGUUAAGACGGGCCCUAAGAAGCUCCGCGGGCA